CAGUCGCCGCGGGAAUACGAAGGGGGCUAGCGUUGCUCGGAAUCACUGGGCGUAAAGGGUGCGUAGGCGGGUCUUUAAGUCAGGGGUGAAAUCCUGGAGCUCAACUCCAGAACUGCCUUUGAUACUGAAGAUCUUGAGUUCGGGAGAGGUGAGUGGAACUGCGAGUGUAGAGGUGAAAUUCGUAGAUAUUCGCAAGAACACCAGUGGCGAAGGCGGCUCACUGGCCCGAUACUGACGCUGAGGCACGAAAGCGUGGGGAGCAAACAGGAUUAGAUACCCCAGUAGUCCCUGUCUCUUAUAC
rnacentral:rRNA from 1 species